UACGGGGGGGCAAGCGUUGUUCGGAAUUACUGGGCGUAAAGGGCUCGUAGGUGGCCAACUAAGUCAGACGUGAAAUCCCUCAGCUUAACUGGGGAACUGCGUCUGAUACUGGAUGGCUUGAGUUUGGGAGAGGGACGCGGAAUUCCAGGUGUAGCGGUGAAAUGCGUAGAUAUUGGAAAGAACACCGAUGGCGAAGGCACUCUACUGGGCUAUUACUGACACUCAGAGACGAAAGCUAGGGGAGCAAAUGGG
rnacentral:rRNA from 1 species